rnacentral:rRNA from 1 species
CCUACGGGAGGCAGCAGUGAGGAAUAUUGGUCAAUGGGCGCGAGCCUGAACCAGCCAAGUAGCGUGAAGGAUGACUGCCCUACGGGUUGUAAACUUCUUUUAUAAAGGAAUAAAGUGAGGCACGUGUGCCUUUUUGUAUGUACUUUAUGAAUAAGGAUCGGCUAACUCCGUGCCAGCAGCCGCGGUAAUACGGAGGAUCCGAGCGUUAUCCGGAUUCAUUGGGCGUAAAGAGUUCGUAGGUGGCACGUAAAGUCUGGUGUUAAAGGCAGAGGCUCAACUUCUGAACGGCACUGGAUACUUGCGAGCUAGAGUGCGGUAGAGGUAAAGGGAAUUCCUGGUGUAGCGGUGAAAUGCUUAGAUAUCAGGAGGAACAUCGAUUGCGUAAGCGCUUCACUGGGCCGUAAUUGACGCUGAGGAACGAAAGCCAGGGUAGCAAAUAGGAUUAGAUACCCUGGUAGUC